UACGAAGGUGGCAAGCGUUACUCGGAAUUACUAGGCGUAAAGGGCAGGUAGGUGGUUUGGUAUGUCGGGUGUGAAAUCCCCGGGCUCAACCUGGGAACUGCAUCCGAAACUGCCUUGCUAGAGUAUGGGAGAGGGAAGUGGAAUUUCCGGUGUAGCGGUGAAAUGCGUAGAUAUCGGAAGGAACAUCAGUGGCGAAGGCGACUUCCUGGACCAAUACUGACGCUCAGGUGCGAAAGCGUGGGGAGCAAACAGG
rnacentral:rRNA from 1 species